UACAGGGGGUGCAAACGUUGCUCGGAAUCAUUGGGCGUAAAGCGCACGUAGGCGGUUCGUUAUGUCGGAUGUGAAAGCCCUUGGCUUAACCGAGGAAGUGCAUCCGAAACUGGCGAGCUAGAGUACUAAAGAGGAUCGCGGAAUUCCCGGUGUAGAGGUGAAAUUCGUAGAUAUCGGGAGGAACACCAGUGGCGAAGGCGGCUUCCUGGACUCAAACUGGCGCUGAGGCGCGAAAGCGUGGGGAUCAAACAGG
rnacentral:rRNA from 1 species